GAAAUGCGAUAAGUAAUGUGAAUUGCAGAAUUCAGUGAAUCAUCGAAUCUUUGAACGCACCUUGCGCUCCUUGGUAUUCCUUGGAGCAUGCCUGUUUGAGUAUCAUGAAAUCUUCAAAGUAAAUCUUUUGUUAACUCAAUUGGUUUCUACUUUGGUAUUGGAGGUCUUUGCAGCUUCACACCUGCUCCUCUUUGUUCAUUAGCUGGAUCUCAGUGUUAUGCUUGGUUCCACUCGGCGUGAUAAGUUAUCUAUCGCUGAGGACACUGUAAAAGGUGGCCAAGGUAAAUGCAGAUGAACCGCUUCUAAUAGUCCAUUGACUUGGACAAUACUUUUAUGAUCUGAUCUCAAAUCAGGGAGGACUACCCGCUGAACUUAAGC
rnacentral:misc_RNA from 1 species